rnacentral:rRNA from 1 species
UACGGAGGGUGCAAGCGUUAUCCGGAUUUACUGGGUUUAAAGGGUGCGUAGGUGGGCAGUUAAGUCAGCGGUGAAAUCUCUGGGCUUAACCCAGAAACUGCCAUUGAUACUAUCUGUCUUGAAUAUCCUGGAGGUGAGCGGAAUAUGUCAUGUAGCGGUGAAAUGCUUAGAUAUGACAUAGAACACCUAUUGCGAAGGCAGCUUACUACGCAGAUAUUGACGCUCAUGCACGAAAGCGUGGGGAUCAAACAGG